rnacentral:tRNA from 1 species
CCCUGGGUGGUGCAAACAGUGAACGUGCUCGGCUGCUAACCAAAAGGUUGGUGGUUCAAGUCCACCCCAAGGUG